AUGAACGCUAGCGACAGGCCUAACACAUGCAAGGUCGAGGGGCAUCGGGGUGUAGCAAUACGCUGCCGGCGACCGGCGGAUGGGUGAGUAACGCGUAUGCAACCUGCCUUCAGCAGGGGGAUAGCCCGUUGAAAGACGGAUUAAUACCCCAUAACACAGGGGCUCCGCAUGGAGAUUAUUGUUAAAGGGAUACUUCCUUCGGGGGGUAUUCCGGCUGAAGAUGGGCAUGCGUUCCAUUAGGUAGUUGGUUGAGGUAACGGCUCACCAAGCCUGCGAUGGAUAGGGGAACUGAGAGGUUGGUCCCUCACACUGGUACUGAGACACGGACCAGACUCCUACGGGAGGCAGCAGUGAGGAAUCUUGGUCAAUGGACGGAAGUCUGAACCAGCCAUGUCGCGUGAAGGAGGACGGCCCUAAGGGUUGUAAACUUCUUUUGCAGGGGAAUAAAGUAUUCCACGAGAUGGGAUAUUGCAAGUACGCUGCGAAUAAGGAUCGGCUAACUCCGUG
rnacentral:rRNA from 1 species